GAGCUCUCUGGUGCUGGCUAAGUCCCAGUCUGAACACAGGUUUCUGCAUAUGACGUGCAGUUGGUGGACAAGUCUGCUGCUGGACAUGAAUGUGACUGAAAGGGUUAAUUUACCACACAAGGGGUUUCAGAAGACACCUUGUUCUUUAAAAAACUAUCUGUAGUUGGAGGAAACUCCUGCCCAAAGAACCCUCACUGUGAGAAUGCAUGCCUGACAAUACCAUGUCAGGUAUUGUCACAUGUUAACGUUCCCGUUUGCAAGUAGAGCACAGAGAGGAGAGGUGAUCAGUGCUUGAACACACAUCCCAGUACACUGGGAACCACAUCUAGC